GGGGGUUUAGCUCAGUGGUUUAAGUGCCUGUCUGGUAAGCAUGAGGUUGUGAGUUCAAUCUCCAGCACCCA
rfam:Cavia porcellus supercont2_12 genomic scaffold, whole genome shotgun sequence.